UUCGAAUCCUUGGUUCUUAUUCCAGCAACAGCGUGGAGGUGGGCAAUGUGCAUUGACAUACUUCAUCUUCAUUUCUUUUUAUGUUCAUGGGAAUCUUCAUAGCACAUUGAUCUGAUGCUUUCUAUAAGUCUAUUAUAAAAUGUUGAUGGGAUUUUGUGGGUCUUCCUGAUACUAGACAGAUCUUCUGAAAUUUAGUUAUUCUUUUUUGGUUUGUUUACAAGAUAAAAACCAUCUGAGUGUCUGGGGCCCAAGGCCUAAAAACCUCAACAUCAGGGAACUGUAGUAGUCACCGCUCACCAUGUCCUUUUCUUCUUCUUGUCCUUGUUCUUAUUUUUUCUUUUUUUCCAGCAAAAAUUGGUUACUUUGCUUCUGUCACCUAUUGAAAGAACUGACUCUUGAUAGCAGGAAUGAACCAAAGAAUCUUUUGAUUGUUUUAAGACAAAAAACCUUGAAUGAUUACAGCUAAGACUACAACAAAGUGAAAAGAUUUUGCAAAGCCCAGAUAAGAUAACACUGAAAUCAAUAUCACUAAACAUUUUCAGUAAUUCCCUCUAUCACAAAGCUUUCUGUGAACCUCUCCACUGAAAUAAAUCCUUUUAUCUUUAGUACCUCUCUCACCUUACCUGUACCUCUCUUCUAAGACUGAUUUCAUUCUGGUUGACUGUAUAGGCUUUGGGCUGUGUUUUAUUCAUCUCCAUAUUCUGGUACCUAGUAUAGAGCUAAGAGGUACAUAGCACAUGUUAAGUUAGCACAUGACUACAAAGUUUUAGGCCUUUAGCACAUGUUAAGUUAGCACACGACUACAAAGUUUUAGGCAUUUAGGCCUCACUUACACAAUAAAUAUUUACUGAGUAUCUACUCAGUACCAAGCACAGUUCUGGGCACUGGGAUAUACUGUGAUAAGUAGGACUGUCGAAGUCUCUGCCCUCAUGGAGCUUUCACUCUAGUGGGAGAGACUGAUAAUACACAAAUAAUAUGGAAUAUAAUGUCAGGCAGUGAAAUGGCAAUGGAGAAAUAAGGAUAAGAGGAUAAAGAGGAUGGGUGGGAUGAAGGUAGAGCACUAUUUUGUGAGAACUCAGAGAUGACAAAGGGGUAAAUGAAGCCAUGAAAAUAUCUGAGGAAGGAGCACUCUAGGCAGAGGGAAUAACAUGAGUGGAAGAGCAAGAAGGCCAAUGUGACCAACAGGAAUGCUCAGAGAGGAGGUUGAGACCAACAGAACGGGAUCAUAUGGGAUCUUGUAGGUCAUACAAUAGUAUAUUUUUAGUAUGGUGGGAAACCAAUGGAGGGUUUGGACAAGCAAUGCACAUGAUAAGGAAGUUCAUUUUAAAAAGGUUGUCCUGAUUGCAAUAUUCAGAAUGGAUUAUAGUGGGAUACAAGUGGAUGCAACAAAACAGAUUUGGGGAAAGUAACUUCAGUCUAAGUUGAUUAGAGUAUAUGUGAUUAGGGUGGUUAACAGUGGUUAGAUUCCCAAUACAGUUUGGAGUUCAAAUUAUCAGGGCUUAUUUUGACCUAUUAAAAUUCUCCUAGAAGGUAUGCACUUUACAGAAGUUACACUGAAGUGAAGGCUGAUACUUGACUGGUCAGGCUAUAAUCUAACACUGUGGUUCUCAAAUUUCUUGGUUCCAAGACUAUACUCAAAUAUUAUUGAAGAUCCCAGAGAGUUUUUUUUUAUGUGGAUUAGAUCUACUGAUAAAUAUAUAUUUUUAACAUAUUGGUUGAUUCAUUUAAAACCAACAAUAAUAAACUUAAUAAACCAAUUAUAUGUUAACAGAAAUAACAUAAUUUUGUGAAAACUAUUUUUUAAAACAAAAACAUUAGUGAACAUAAUGGUAUUGCUUUACAGUUUUGCUAAUUUCUUUAAUAUCAGAAGACAGCUGGAUUCUCAUUUCUGCUUCUGCAUUCAGUCUAUUGUGAUAUAGCAUAUCAUGUAACUUCUGAAAAACUUCACUGUACACAGAUGCUGACCUCACAGACUCCCUGAAAGGAUCUCCAUGACCUCUAUGGUUCCUUAGACUGCACUUUGAGAACUAUUGACGUACAGGGAAAAAUGCUCUUGGUGUUCCAGUUAAGCACAGAAUAAAAUCUGGACUGUGUCAGUUUGUAAAGAUCUUAUGUCUACUUGGUCAUCAGCCAAGAAGGGAUUCCGAAGAUAGAAGAGGAGGCAUCAACACCGUGAACAUCAUGGCUGAGUUAUUUUGUGAGAGGGAUAAGCCUAAAGUAAAAACCUUGGAUUUGCCUCUGUCCUUGAACAUGCUAUCUGGAAAGAGUUUUCUUAAAAGUAUUGUUGUGAACACAUCCAUUUUCCCAGUAUAGUUGAAUGCAGGGUUUAAUAAAUGGAAUGAAUCUAGUUUUAGUUCCUGUACUGCUU
rnacentral:lncRNA from 1 species